rnacentral:lncRNA from 1 species
GCCCCUGACCAUGGACGCUUGAUUGCUGUGGUUCACUGUUCAAGGAGCUGCCCUUGCUUGGCACUUGUGAGUACCUGCCAUGGCAUGUUGCUUUGAUACCUAUUUGCUCUCGAUGAUACUUUAACUGAUCCCCAGUCAUAUCACUGAGCAUGCUAUAGUGUGUUAAGAUUGUGAUUCUAUAGUGUGAUCUUGCUUUAGAAAAACUUGGACUAGAAACAAAAGUCUUUGGCUAGAAGGAUACCCCCUCCAAGGCUGAAGUGGAACUUGGAAUAUUUGGUGGUCUAAAAGGAAGCAAUCAAUGAUUUGGCCACUAUUCUAGCAUUCAGUAUACCCUACAUGCAUGGGUUACCUUAGUGACAAAGGACAUAGACUUAGUUACUACUGUAUACCUUUCCAAACUCUGAUGCAAGAACUCUUGUUUCUAACACCUGAGAGCAUGCUGGAAGGGCUGAGGUCCUCUCUCAUGCAUGUCAAUUGUCUCUUCAAAUUCUCUACUGCUUGUCCAUAACAUCUGAUACCUCACUGCUCUUUGCUCUGUGUGUGUGUGUGUGUGUCAACAUGAAUGGUGUCCUAAGAAAACCCAGCAUCUGUCAGACAGCUCAGUAUAUAAUAUAUAUAUAUAAUAAACAUAUCAUCAGCUUGAUCAGGAUGAUGAAGAGAAUUGCUUGAGUUUGGAAUGUUACAUAACCAAGAUUAGGUCACUAGUGGACAUCAACUAAGCGACACAUGCAUGCCCAACCAAAAGCCAUUCAAACCUUGUAAUCAACCUACUCCACAUCGUCUCUUUGCAUCGGCUAACUCACUUGGGAGGUGGUCCGGCGGCCAUGGGUGGCGCAGGCGGUCCGUAGUACAUAGGCGUCGACUCCGUCCUGCCCUUUCUCCGGCCGAGUAGGUAGCAAGCAAGGGCCAGGAUCGCCACCAGCAGAAUCAACGGCACCGAUAUAACCACCACGAACCCCAUCUUCUUCUUCCUCCUCCGCCACUCGACCUCGUUAGCACAUCAGCAUGCGCACAAAUCUACCACGGAAAUAUGGCUGAAGAAAACGAAAUAAACCGCUAACACGACAUACCUCUUCGGAUGGGGCAGGAGAGCACCACCUGAGAUCGCAGGUUUCCUUCUUCCUCUGUGACUGUGGACAGGUGAGAGAGAGAAGAAGAAGGAAUGGGGUUAUCGGUUGGCCAUCGUUUAAAGAACACAAAAGCGAUGGCAGACACCAGAUGGCGUUUGCUCAUGGAAGACUUGGAUGACUUCUCUUCUACUCGGACAACGACAACUGUGACAACAGC